rnacentral:rRNA from 1 species
AGAGUUUGAUCCUGGCUCAGGAUGAACGCUAGCUACAGGCUUAACACAUGCAAGUCGAGGGGAAACGAUAUUGGAAGCUUGCUUCCGAUAGGCGUCGACCGGCGCACGGGUGAGUAACGCGUAUCCAACCUGCCCACCACUUGGGGAUAACCUUGCGAAAGUAAGACUAACACCCAAUGAUAUCUCUAGAAGACAUCUGAAAGAGAUUAAAGAUUUAUCGGUGAUGGAUGGGGAUGCGUCUGAUUAGCUUGUUGGCGGGGUAACGGCCCACCAAGGCAACGAUCAGUAGGGGUUCUGAGAGGAAGGUCCCCCACAUUGGAACUGAGACACGGUCCAAACUCCUACGGGAGGCAGCAGUGAGGAAUAUUGGUCAAUGGACGAGAGUCUGAACCAGCCAAGUAGCGUGCAGGAAGACGGCCCUAUGGGUUGUAAACUGCUUUUAUAAGGGAAUAAAGUGAGAGUCGUGACUCUUUUUGCAUGUACCUUACGAAUAAGGACCGGCUAAUUCCGUGCCAGCAGCCGCGGUAAUACGGAAGGUCCGGGCGUUAUCCGGAUUUAUUGGGUUUAAAGGGAGCGUAGGCCGGAGAUUAAGCGUGUUGUGAAAUGUAGACGCUCAACGUCUGCACUGCAGCGCGAACUGGUUUCCUUGAGUACGCACAAAGUGGGCGGAAUUCGUGGUGUAGCGGUGAAAUGCUUAGAUAUCACGAAGAACUCCGAUUGCGAAGGCAGCUCACUGGAGCGCAACUGACGCUGAAGCUCGAAAGUGCGGGUAUCGAACAGGAUUAGAUACCCUGGUAGUCCGCACGGUAAACGAUGGAUGCCCGCUGUUGGUCUGAAUAGGUCAGCGGCCAAGCGAAAGCAUUAAGCAUCCCACCUGGGGAGUACGCCGGCAACGGUGAAACUCAAAGGAAUUGACGGGGGCCCGCACAAGCGGAGGAACAUGUGGUUUAAUUCGAUGAUACGCGAGGAACCUUACCCGGGCUUGAAUUGCAGAGGAAGGAUUUGGAGACAAUGACGCCCUUCGGGGCCUCUGUGAAGGUGCUGCAUGGUUGUCGUCAGCUCGUGCCGUGAGGUGUCGGCUUAAGUGCCAUAACGAGCGCAACCCCUCUCCUUAGUUGCCAUCAGGUUAAGCUGGGCACUCUGGGGACACUGCCACCGUAAGGUGUGAGGAAGGUGGGGAUGACGUCAAAUCAGCACGGCCCUUACGUCCGGGGCUACACACGUGUUACAAUGGC